GGAUGAAGAACGCAGCGAAAUGCGAUAAGUAAUGUGAAUUGCAGAAUUCAGUGAAUCAUCGAAUCUUUGAACGCACAUUGCGCCCCUUGGUAUUCCGAGGGGCAUGCCUGUUCGAGCGUCAUUAUAACCCCUCAAGCUCAGCUUGGUGUUGGGGCCUGCUGCACUGGCAGCCCUUAAAAUCAGUGGCGGCGCCAUCUGGCUCUAAGCGUAGUAAUUCUUCUCGCUAUGGAGUCCUGGUGGAUGCUUGCCAUCAACCCCCAAUUUUUCUAUGGUUGACCUCGGAUCAGGUAGGGAUACCCGCUGAACUUAAGCAUAUCAAUAAGCGGAGGA
rnacentral:misc_RNA from 1 species